ensembl:lncRNA
GUUGUGAUGAAAGUGAUUAAAAACCCCAUUCAAAGCUAACUAAGAAAAGAAAAGAAAAGACUUCCUCGUGGUCCCGUGAUUAAGGCUUUGUGCUCCCAAUGCAGGGAGUCCAUGUUCGAUCACUACUCAGAAAACUCAAUCCCACGUGCCACAAUUAAGAACCCACAUGAUGCAGUGCAGCCAAAUAAAUUAAAAAAGCAAAAGAAAAGGUAAGCCUGACUUUAGGCAGAGCUGGGCUCAGAGAGGUAGGAGAUGUACGAGAAUUUGGUGUGUUUAACUCACUCUGCACCUCUCAGCUCUGUUUUAUUCUAAGAAUUUUUUCACAUGGAGCAAAGGAGUCCUAUAUAUAGACACAGGAGCCAGAAGAAUUCCAGUUUCCCACGUUUCACAGCACCUGUGAUCCUAAGAGGCCUGGUUUCUGCCAGCACCUGUGUCAAUUCCUGAAAAAGGACUCUGUGUGUCUCAUCCCCAAACCAGUCAUUCCGGCCACGGAGAUGCAGUAUUGUUACUGACCAGGCUGGGGACACCGUGGCUGCCCAACCCCAAGAGCCAAGGUGAGGCGAGCUUUCAGUUUCCAGAGCCACAGAGACUGAGAAGGAGCAAGGAGUCAUUUCCCAAACAGAUGGCAGGCAGACAAAAAUAACAGAGCAUAUCCAGCUACUUCCUCUCCAUAAGAUCCUCAUGGACUGAUUUUGAUCAUGGAAAGAGUCUCUGAAAUCAGCCCCCUCUGAUCUCUGCCUCCUGGUAUUACAUUGUUCUAUGAUCCCCUCCCUUCCACGUGGGCUGGAUUGAGUGACUCACUUCUAGAGAAGACAAUCUGGUGGAGGCGAUGGUGUCAGUUCUGAGACUGGGUGAUGAAGGACUGCAGAUUCCAUCUUGGUGGCCCCAACUUUUGCUGCCUAUCUCUUGCCUGGUUCCCUUGGGGAAGCUGGCGACCAUGUUGUCAGUCAGCCCCUAUGCAGAGGCUCAGGUAAAGUCUACUCCUGCUGCUGCUUCUAAGUCGCUUCAGUCGUGUCCGACUCUGCGCGACCCCAUAGACGGCAGCACACCAGGCUCCUCUGUCCAUGGGAUUUUCCAGGCAAGGACACUGGAGUGGGUUGCCAUUGCCUUCUCCGAGGUUACCUAAGAACCUCUCCCUGAUGAAAAGCCUAAAUAAUCUCCAAGGAAAAAAGAAAGAGGAGAGUCCAAUAUCAAAAGAAUGUUUUGUCGAAGCCAAUUUUCUUUAGCAACAGUUUUACAAUCAAAAUAAAGAUAUUUUAAAAUGUAUAAAUCCACACUCCUGGGUAUAAACACCAGACUGAUAUGGCUCCAUUAAAACAUCAAGCUGUAGCCUCUGUAAACUGUGUUGGUAAUAGAGAUGGGUUGAUUAACUUCAAUUCAAGUACGCAUACCUGCUACUAUUUCCAGAAGUUAAUUGCUACUCUUGGGCAUUUUAAACUUAUGUAUAUAGUGUUGAGUGGGAGUUUCCUGUGAUGAUUGCCCUAAUAUUUCACUGAAUUCUAAUUAGCAGCUGAUUACCAUUCCUCCUGUCACCACGUAACCCCAAUUGCUGCUGUAACUUUAUUUUUUCAAAUACAACAGAAAGUCUGUCCCUAAGUUGUGUCCAAUUCUUUUGUGACCCCAUGGACUAUCACCCGCCAGGCUCCUCUGUUCAUGGGAUUUCCCAGGCAAGAAUACUGGAGUGGGUUGCCGUUUCCUUCUCCAGUGC